rnacentral:lncRNA from 1 species
AUGACACGGACGUCAGGCCGCAUGCACAGAGCAAGUCCCUGGAGCGGAGGCCUUGUUUCUUCUCUGGUCUCUCACUACACAGAGACUUGGAGUCAAUCUUCUGAGCAGCCAGUGCAGGCCUGGUACAGAGUCAGUGUCCACGAAUGCUUGUACGCAGCCUGGCUGGUGCUCUGGGUUGGCUGGAAUGCAUUUAUCAUCUGCUUCUACUUGGAGGUUGGACAGCUGUCCCAGGACCGGGACUUCAUCAUGACCUUCAACACAUCCCUGCAUCGCUCCUGGUGGAUGGAGAACGGGCCAGGCUGCCUGGUGACACCUGUCCUGAACUCCCGCCUGGCCCUGGAGGACCACCAUGUCAUCUCAGUCACCGGCUGCCUGCUUGACUACCCCUACAUUGAAGCACUUAGCAGUGCCCUGCAGAUCUUCUUGGCUCUGUUCGGCUUCGUGUUCGCCUGCUACGUGAGCAAAGUAUUCCUGGAAGAGGAGGACAGCUGUGAGUGGGGAGCCCCUAGGGAAGUGGGGAGCCCACGCCGUCAGCACCCUGGACAGUGGCCCGAGUGGGAGGGAGCCCUGGGUCACUUAAGGGGUCCCUCUUGGGGCUGGGGAAGAAGAGACUGGGCUGGGUGGGUAUCUGCAUAG